CCCAGACCUGCAUUCGAUACGGGCGAGCUAGAGUGUGGUAGGGGAGACUGGAAUUCCUGGUGUAGCGGUGGAAUGCGCAGAUAUCAGGAGGAACACCAAUGGCGAAGGCAGGUCUCUGGGCCAUUACUGACACUGAGGAGCGAAAGCGUGGGGAGCGAACAGGAUUAGAUACCCUGGUAGUCCACGCCGUAAACGGUGGGCACUAGUUGUGGGAACCUUCCACGGUUUCUGCGACGCAGCUAACACAUUAAGUGCCCCGCCUGGGGAGUACGAUCGCAAGAUUAAAACUCAAAGGAAUUGACGGGGCCCCGCACAAGCAGCGGAGCAUGCGGCUUAAUUCGACGCAACGCGAAGAACCUUACCAAGGCUUGACAUAUACAGGAAUAUGGCAGAAAUUCCAUAGCCGCAAGGUCUGUAUACAGGUGGUGCAUGGUUGUCGUCAGCUCGUGUCGUGAGAUGUUGGGUUAAGUCCCGCAACGAGCGCAACCCUCGUUCUGUGUUGCCAGCAUUUAGUUGGGGACUCACAGGAGACUGCCGGGGUUAACUCGGAGGAAGGUGGGGAUGACGUCAAAUCAUCAUGCCCCUUAUGUCUUGGGCUGCACGCAUGCUACAAAUGGCUGGUACAAAC
rnacentral:rRNA from 1 species